rnacentral:rRNA from 1 species
AGCGUACAAGGUGGAUGCCUUGGCAAUCAGAGGCGAGGAAGGACGUGCUAAUCUGCGAAAAGCUUGGAUGAGUCGAUAAGAGGCGUUUAAUCCAAGAUGUCCGAAUGGGGAAACCCAGUAGAUGAAGAAUCUACUAUCACUUACUGAAUCCAUAGGUAAGUGAGGCAAACCGGGAGAACUGAAACAUCUAAGUACCCCGAGGAAAAGAAAUCAACCGAGAUUUCGUUAGUAGCGGCGAGCGAACGCGGAGGAGCCUGUUAGUGAUAAUGACAGAGACAGAGGAACAAGCUGGGAAGCUUGGCGAUACAGGGUGAUAGCCCCGUACUCGAAGUCCAGGUCAUGGUACUAAGCUAACGACAAGUAGGGCGGGACACGUGAUAUCCUGUUUGAAGAUGGGGGGACCAUCCUCCAAGGCUAAAUACUCCUGAUUGACCGAUAGUGAACCAGUACUGUGAAGGAAAGGCGAAAAGAACCCCGGUGAGGGGAGUGAAAUAGAACCUGAAACCUUGUACGUACAAGCAGUGGGAGCCCUUUUGGGGUGACUGCGUACCUUUUGUAUAAUGGGUCAGCGACUUAUAUUUUGUAGCGAGGUUAACCGAAUAGGGGAGCCGAAGGGAAACCGAGUCUUAACUGGGCGUCUAGUUGCAAGGUAUAGACCCGAAACCCGGUGAUCUAGCCAUGGGCAGGUUGAAGGUUGGGUAACACUAACUGGAGGACCGAACCGACUAAUGUUGAAAAAUUAGCGGAUGACUUGUGGCUGGGGGUGAAAGGCCAAUCAAACCGGGAGAUAGCUGGUUCUCCCCGAAAUCUAUUUAGGUAGAGCCUUGAGCGGACACCUUCGGGGGUAGAGCACUGUUUCGGCUAGGGGUCCAUCCCGGAUUACCAACCCGAUGCAAACUACGAAUACCGAAGAGUGAUACUCAGGAGACACACGGCGGGUGCUAACGUCCGUCGUGGAGAGGGAAACAACCCAGACCGCCAGCUAAGGUCCCAAAGUCUAUAUUAAGUGGGAAACGAAGUGGGAAGGCUUAGACAGCUAGGAUGUUGGCUUAGAAGCAGCCAUCAUUUAAAGAAAGCGUAAUAGCUCACUAGUCGAGUCGGCCUGCGCGGAAGAUGUAACGGGGCUCAAAUAUAGCACCGAAGCUGCGGCAUCAGACGAAAGUCUGUUGGGUAGGGGAGCGUUCUGUAAGCGGAUGAAGGUGGCUCGAGAGGGUUGCUGGACGUAUCAGAAGUGCGAAUGCUGACAUAAGUAACGAUAAAACGGGUGAAAAACCCGUUCGCCGGAAGACCAAGGGUUCCUGUCCAACGUUAAUCGGGGCAGGGUGAGUCGGCCCCUAAGGCGAGGCUGAAAAGCGUAGUCGAUGGGAAACGGGUUAAUAUUCCCGUACUUGGAUAAACUGCGAUGUGGGGACGGAGCAGGUUAGGUUAUCGCACUGUUGGAUAUGUGCGUUUAAGUUUGUAGGUGUGAAGUUUAGGCAAAUCCGGACUUCUUUAACACUGAGAGAUGAUGACGAGGCUCUACGGAGCUGAAGUAACCGAUACCACACUUCCAGGAAAAGCCACUAAGCUUCAGGUUUAUCUAAACCGUACUGAAAACCGACACAGGUGGUCAGGUAGAGAAUACUCAGGCGCUUGAGAGAACUCGGGUGAAGGAACUAGGCAAAAUAGCACCGUAACUUCGGGAGAAGGUGCGCCGGCGUAGAUUGUAGUCCCUUGCGGGCGAAGGUUGAACCGGUCGAAGAUACCAGCUGGCUGCAACUGUUUAUUAAAAACACAGCACUCUGCAAACACGAAAGUGGACGUAUAGGGUGUGAUGCCUGCCCGGUGCUGGAAGGUUAAUUGAUGGUGUAAUCGAAAGAGAAGCUCCUGAUCGAAGCCCCAGUAAACGGCGGCCGUAACUAUAACGGUCCUAAGGUAGCGAAAUUCCUUGUCGGGUAAGUUCCGACCUGCACGAAUGGCAUAAUGAUGGCCAGGCUGUCUCCACCCGAGACUCAGUGAAAUUGAAAUCGCCGUGAAGAUGCGGUGUACCCGCGGCUAGACGGAAAGACCCCGUGAACCUUUACUAUAGCUUGACACUGAACAUUGAAUUUUGAUGUGUAGGAUAGGUGGGAGACUUUGAAGAUGAUACGCCAGUAUUGUUGGAGUCGUCCUUGAAAUACCACCCUUUAACGUUUGAUGUUCUAACGAAGAUUACGAAACGUGGUCUCGGACAGUGUCUGGUGGGUAGUUUGACUGGGGCGGUCUCCUCCCAAAGAGUAACGGAGGAGCACGAAGGUUGGCUAAUCCUGGUCGGACAUCAGGAGGU